UACGGGGGGGGCAAGCGUUGUUCGGAAUUACUGGGCGUAAAGGGCUCGUAGGCGGCCAACUAAGUCGGAUGUGAAAUCCCCAGGCUUAACCUGGGAACUGUAUCCGAUACUGGAUGGCUUGAAUCCGGGAGAGGGAUGCAGAAUUCCAGGUGUAGCGGUGAAAUGCGUAGAUAUCUGGAGGAAUACCGGUGGCGAAGGCGGCAUCCUGGACCGGCAUUGACGCUGAGGAGCGAAAGCUAGGGGAGCAAACGGG
rnacentral:rRNA from 1 species